AUCCCAGAUAAAAGUUACUGUUUUUACCUGAUUCAUGGGAGGCAGAUAUAAAAAAUGGUAGUUCGCGGAUAGCACCUUUUCUCUGUAAAAGGUAUGCUAAUAGUGCCUCACUGCACAUCC